rnacentral:tRNA from 1 species
GCCGCUUUAGCACUGACGGUCAGUGUAUCCGGCUGAAACCCGGAGGAAUGCAGUUCGAUCCUGCGAGGCGGCGCAA